AUUGAACGCUGGCGGCAUGCCUUACACAUGCAAGUCGAACGGCAGCACGGGGGCAACCCUGGUGGCGAGUGGCGAACGGGUGAGUAAUGCAUCGGAACGUGCCCAGUAGUGGGGGAUAACCCGGCGAAAGCCGGGCUAAUACCGCAUACGACCCAAGGGUGAAAGCGGGGGACCGUAAGGCCUCGCGCUAUUGGAGCGGCCGAUGUCUGAUUAGCUAGUUGGCGGGGUAAGAGCCCACCAAGGCGACGAUCAGUAGCUGGUCUGAGAGGACGACCAGCCACACUGGGACUGAGACACGGCCCAGACUCAUACGGGAGGCAGCAGUGGGGAAUUUUGGACAAUGGGCGAAAGCCUGAUCCAGCCAUGCCGCGUGCAGGAUGAAGGCCUUCGGGUUGUAAACUGCUUUUGUACGGAACGAAAAGGUUUGGCCUAAUAAGCUGAGCUCAUGACGGUGCCGUAAGAAUAAGCACCGGCUAACUACGUGCCAGCCGCCGCAGUAACAC
rnacentral:rRNA from 1 species